rfam:Felis catus isolate Cinnamon breed Abyssinian chromosome D2, whole genome shotgun sequence.
GCCUGCGUGGCUCAGUCGGUUGAGCAUCUGACUUUGGCUCAGGUCACGAUCUUGCGGGUUGUGAGUUCAAGCCCCACGUCAGGCU